UUUGAGAAACUUCACUGGAGAGGGAGGAAGAAGGAGUACAGCCAGGGAGAGGCUCUAGAGCAGGGAAGGGCAGGGAGCACAUUCCAGGGCUGCCCCUCUGCCCACACUGCCUGCUCAUCCUCACCUCUCCCAGUCAUUCCUCUUCAUGGCACUUUCCAGAGAAUGCCCAAGCUCAGCGAAGCUGAGUUGCUCUUUGUUCAGUACAUCAUGGAUGUCCUUGAUGCCAAGGAAAAAGCAUUCCGGAAAGCGAUACAACAGAAAGAAGGCACGUGAGGGAGAGAAGACUUUCAGGGAGAGGGAAGCCCAAAGCAGCCCAGGGAAGCAGCCACAGUGGGGCAGUGCCGGCAGCCCAGGACGAGGUGCCUGUGCCAGUCACUGCAGUGCACCCCCAGAGCCGGCACACUUAUCCCUCCCCACAGAGGAGGCUGUGGGCACCCCAAAGAAGGCAUCAAGCCCUCAGUCUCUUCUUCAUCCUCUGUGCCAAUGUUUCCCCCUGCAUCCAAUAAAAAAUGGAGAUUCUCCUUUUUCCUCCUCUGUUUGUUGA